rnacentral:rRNA from 1 species
UACGUAGGGACCGAGCGUUGUCCGGAUUCAUUGGGCGUAAAGAGCUCGUAGGCGGCUGCUCAAGUCGAAUGUGAAAACUCGAGGCUCAACCUCGAGCCUGCAUUCGAUACUGGGCGGCUAGAGUCUGGUAGGGGGAUCUGGAAUUCCUGGUGUAGCGUGGAAUGCGCAGAUAUCAGGAGGAACACCGGUGGCGAAGGCGGGAUCCUGGGCCAGUACUGACGCUGAGGAGCGAAAGCGUGGGGAGCAAACAGG